UCACAGUAGGAAAUCUAAAGGACAUAUAGUCAGUAGUAAAGAGGGAAUCUUGUGAUCUCGUGUGUGUGUGUGUGUGUGUGUGUGUGUGUGUGUGUGUGUGUGUAUGUGAUGACUCAUGUGGCUUCUGGGACAGUAAGCCUUGCCAGUGAGAGGAGCCAAACCUUACUGAUCCACAAGCUUGAGUGGAGAAGUGACCUAUGGCUGUCCUAUCCUCAGUGGUGCUUCCUGACCUGCCUCGCCUUCCUUUGCUGAUCUCUG
rnacentral:lncRNA from 1 species